UAAUACGGAGGGGGCUAGCGUUGUUCGGAAUUACUGGGCGUAAAGCGCGCGUAGGCGGCUCAUCCAGUCGGGCGUGAAAGGCCUGGGCUCAACCCGGGAACUGCGCUCGAAACCGAUGGGCUGGAGUCCGGGAGAGGGUGGCGGAAUUCCCAGUGUAGAGGUGAAAUUCGUAGAUAUUGGGAAGAACACCGGUGGCGAAGGCGGCCACCUGGACCGGUACUGACGCUGAGGCGCGAAAGCGUGGGGAGCAAACAGGAUUAGAUACCCUGGUAGUCCACGCCGUAAACGAUGAGUGCUAGGUGUCGGGGGGCUUGCCCUUCGGUGCCACAGCUAACGCGUUAAGCACUCCGCCUGGGGAGUACGGCCGCAAGGUUA
rnacentral:rRNA from 1 species